rnacentral:rRNA from 1 species
GACGAACGCUGGCGGCGUGCUUAACACAUGCAAGUCGAACGGUAAGGCCCUUCGGGGUACACGAGUGGCGAACGGGUGAGUAACACGUGGGUGGUCUGCCCUGCACUUCGGGAUAAGCCUGGGAAACUGGGUCUAAUACCGGAUAGGACCACUGCCUGCAUGGGUGGUGGUGGAAAGCUUCUGCGGUGUGGGAUGGGCCCGCGGCCUAUCAGCUUGUUGGUGGGGUGAUGGCCUACCAAGGCGACGACGGGUAGCCGGCCUGAGAGGGUGACCGGCCACACUGGGACGGAGAUACGGCCCAGACUCCUACGGGAGGCAGCAGUGGGGAAUAGUGCACAAUGGGCGCAAGCCUGAUGCAGCGACGCCGCGUGAGGGAUGACGGCCUUCGGGUUGUAAACCUCUUUCAGCACCGACGAAGCGCAAGUGACGGUAGGUGCAGAAGAAGGACCGGCCAACUACGUGCCAGCCGCCGCAGUAA